rnacentral:rRNA from 1 species
AUUGAACGCUGGCGGCAUGCCUUACACAUGCAAGUCGAACGGCAGCGACGGGGGCAACCCUGGUGGCGAGUGGCGAACGGGUGAGUAACACAUCGGAACGUACCCAGUUGUGGGGGAUAACCAGUCGAAAGACGGGCUAAUACCGCAUGAUCUGGUGACAGCAAAGCGGGGGAUCGCAAGACCUCGCGCGAUUGGAGCGGCCGAUGUCCGAUUAGCAGUUGGUGGGGUAAAGGCCCACCAAGGCUUUGAUCGGUAGCUGGUCUGAGAGGAUGAUCAGCCACACUGGGACUGAGACACGGCCCAGACUCCUACGGGAGGCAGCAGUGGGGAAUUUUGGACAAUGGGGGCAACCCUGAUCCAGCCAUGCCGCGUGAGUGAAGAAGGCC